rnacentral:rRNA from 1 species
UUGUCCUACGGGAGGCAGCAGUGGGGGAUAUUGGACAAUGGGGGGAACCCUGAUCCAGCGACGCCGCGUGAGUGAAGAAGUAUUUCGGUAUGUAAAGCUCUAUCAGCAGGGAAGAAAAAUGACGGUACCUGAGUAAGAAGCACCGGCUAAAUACGUGCCAGCAGCCGCGGUAAUACGUAUGGUGCAAGCGUUAUCCGGAUUUACUGGGUGUAAAGGGAGCGCAGGCGGUGCGGCAAGUCUGAUGUGAAAGCCCGGGGCUCAACCCCGGGACUGCAUUGGAAACUACCGAACUAGAGUGUCGGAGG